rfam:Canis lupus familiaris chromosome 15, whole genome shotgun sequence.
ACCUGGCUGGCUCAGUUGGUGGAGCAUGCUACUCUUGAUCUCAGGGUUGUGAGUUCGAGCCCCACGUUGGGUG